rnacentral:lncRNA from 1 species
CUGAGGUUGACUGCCGCUGCAGCGGGCGGCAAAGUGAUCAAAGUGAGGUGGCGGGUCGAAGCAGCUCUGGGAGACGCCCACCCACCGUCUCCUCUCCGCCCCAUCUCAGGCAUCCGCCCUUCCUCUGUGUGCCCGGUGCUUACCUGAGCGGUCGCACUUACCACACGCACUGCGACGAUUUUACUCCUCUACUUCUCCCACUUCAAAUCCGGAAGUGCGGUUUAGUCUCGGUGCCCGGAGCGCGGGAGAGUCCUUGCCGUGUGUUCAACAAGUGUUGGAUGGUGGACGGACGGCUCUGUGGCGAGACCAGGAUUGUGACAGUGCCUGCCGUGAACUUUUGGUUUCUCCGUCCCCACACAAUCUUUCAGUGUUUCGGUUGCAAGGACCUCAGAAAUCAUCUGGCGGCUCUGAGAAACAGAAUGUGGUCCGUGUACCCCUGGUGGCCCAGGAGAUUACAUUAAGCUGGGUUACAGCCUUUUUACACCCGCCGAUCCUCUCAGAACCCAUGUCUCAGAGUGAAGAUUACUGUCUCCAGAUUUGGAGCUACCAAUGUAUCAUCUAUGUCCUGCAAGAAUUCCCAGGCCAUCCAAAAAGUCAUCCUCUUUUUUGGAUUAGCCAUUUUGUGAAGCCAGGCCUUUAG